rnacentral:tRNA from 1 species
CGGGGGGUAGCUCAGUUUGGGUGAGAGCGCACGACUCAUAAUCGUGAGGUCGCGGGGUUUCAA